CUACACUCACUUCGCUUUAUUGCAUUUCAGUUCUUUGGUGGGGUCACUACAAGAAUCCGUAAUUUUCUUUGCGGCCAAAAAUCACCCAAGGAUAGCCUGAAAACUGCCAAGGCAAUAUAUCUUGGCGGCCAACUGCCAAUUCUAGAGUGACAUGGAAAUCCAGAUUUCUUGGCUGCUAACCGUGAGGGAAAGUUUCAUUGGUGGUCCUACCGCCAAGAAGAUUACAAAGAUUAUCAAACUUCUGAAAAGCCAAGAAAUGAAACCCUGGCGGUAUGGUGGCCGAGCACUUGAGCUCCAGAGUUUUACAAAAUGGAUUAUUUGUCUUUGAUGUUCAGCUUCUGGAUAUCCAUAUCAAAAAGAGGAACUGAUUAGAACACAAAAGGUUGAACAAGUUGGUGCAUAUUAGCUACAACCGGAAGAUGGCAAAUAGAUUUCAGAAAAUUAGAGAGCUUGGCUCCAAAGGAACGAGAUGCAACCCACUCCUCCUUGAAGAAUUCCAGUGGGAGAAUGAAUGGGUUGAUGACAAUUGUGAAGUAGUUCAAGCAGCUGAUGAUGAUCUCAAUUGGGUUGAUCAAGCUAUUGGUGCAACUCAGACUCUAUGAGGUCGUGACAUGCCUAGGGCGGCUGCUGCUGCUGCUCGUGAUAGUGUUGCGGUCACUUAUGGUAGGAAAAGGAAGUGUUCAAGGAAGACAAUUGCUGUUGUCCAAGAUAUUGUUGAAGAAGAUGACAGUGAUGAUAAUCAAAUAGAUGGUGGACAAGAACAACAACAAAGUGAUGUUGAUUCAGAAGCUAAAGAUGAAGAUGGAGGAGGACCAACAACUGCAGCAACAACAGAAGAUGGAGGGAGCUUUCUUUUGGAUGAUGAUUUGAUUAGUUAGAUGGCUGCUUGUGUUCGAACUUGGAGCUUAUGCGUUGUUCAGUUGAGCACUUAAGCUUGUACUUUGUAGUGAACUUGCUUAUUUAUGUGCUACUACUACUGGUUGGAUACCGGGCUGCUGGCUACUAUGAUUUGCUGGUUUAAUUAUGUUCUUAGUUGCCCUAUUUUAUAUAUUUGCUCUAGGCCUCAAGCUCCCAGCCUCCAAGUCUUAUUUUCAGCUACUAGUUUCAGUUCAGUGUUAUUUUCAGCAGCAAGUCAAAAGAAAUAUGGAGUACGCGACUGGGAUAUGGAGUUAUGGAUUCUUGCACACAUCAAAACUCAAAGGAUUCCUUUAUUAUUGCUUUAUGUUGUGCACUAUAUAGUAUAUAUGUUCUUAGGUUAUGGCAACAGACUUUACCGAUCUGCCUCGAUUAAUCAGGUUGGUCAACGAUUAACCAACCUGAUCGGCCUAAUCGGUGCCAUGGCGAUCAGGUCUGAUCGGUCGAUCAGAGAACAUUGGUGAAAAACCAUUUGAUCAAUUUGAGAAACGAUGGUUGGGAACCUUUGCAUGGAGAGGUUACAGUAUUUUGCAUAGAAAAUGAUAUGCCAAUACCAAAUAUGGAUGAUACAGUUCCAGGGAUUGGUCAAUCAAGAAAACAGGGGAGAAACAAUGUCACGACCAUCCAUGUGUUUCCUUGUUGAUACCUUUUAUGCAGCAAUAGAUGCUAUUAACACAAAGUUGAAUCAUAGCUUUAAUGAGGUAUCUCCGAAUUGCUUGUUUGCUUUGCUUCUCUUGAUCCUAGAGAUUGUUUAGUCUAAAUUUCACGUGGAUAGGCUUGCCCAGCUUACGAAGAUUUAUCAGGAGGAUAUUGUUGGCAAAUUUAUCUCUCAGCAUGGAAACCAGGAGAAAAUCUCGUUAUGGUCAUUUUUCCACCCGUUGCCCGUGCGAAAUUGGUGUGUGAUUAAAAUAGCAAUUAUUUCCUUAAUUAAAUUGUGCAACGAUCAGAAGCACCAAUAAUUUCCUUUUAUUAAGAUUUCCCUGAUUUCUCGGCGCAAAAUAAAAAGGGGAGGCCUACACGUGAGAAAGAUGACGAUCUCUCUCAAGGUUCCAAUCUCCCCGACAUCCCAAACCCUAAUUCCCGAUUCUUAGUUGCGUUGGAAGGGAGUCAUAGUGCUGUCCGAGGACUUUGCAGGUGGAGGCCUGAGGCAUGCCGCCACAUUGACUGCACAACUACUACGACUACCUCCUCCCCUACGCCGCCAGAGCGGUUCGAGGGAUUGCUACCUCUACAUCCAUUCCGGCAAACAGCAUUGCAGAGGGAACCAGGAAAACUGCAUUGAUGGCUUCAAACAACGGUCUGUGACCAUAAUUGUUCCACAUUAAGGUGAUCAUAGAUGGCUAAGCACUCAUGUUAGUAGAUCAUAUAAUCUACAGAUUUUUCUUUUGAUGAUCGCAAGGCUAUAAGAAAUCAACUACAGACAUUUAUCCUUCAUGUGUGGAGGCUCUAGGAGUUCAUAGUUUGUCAUGAUUUUGCAAGCUUUGCAAAAAAAGAUGGUUGACUGAAGAGGCAUAGUGUAUUUCCAUUUGUAUAUCAUCUCAAUGAGUUGGCAUAGCUUUUACCGGUGGCAAUUGCAUCAGUUGAGAAGGUCUUCUCGGCAAUGAAGAUUAUCAAGACGGGGCUACGCAACAAGAUGUAGGAUGGUUGGCUCAAUGAUUUGAUGAUUUGCUACAUUAAAACACAGAGAUAUUCAAAAGA